rnacentral:pre_miRNA from 1 species
UUCCAGGAUCGCGUCCCGGCCACUUCGUGCUGUGUGAUCUUUGGCGAUCACUGCCUCUCUGGGCCUGUGUCUUAGGCUCUGCAAGAUCAACCGAGCAAAGCACACGGCCUGCAGAGAGGCAGCGCUCUGCCCCUUACUCGGCCGCGGUGUUCAUCGGAGACCUCCAGGGA